GACGAACGCUGGCGGCGUGCCUAAUACAUGCAAGUAGAACGCUGAAGGAGGAGCUUGCUUCUCCGGAUGAGUUGCGAACGGGUGAGUAACGCGUAGGUAACCUGCCUGGUAGCGGGGGAUAACUAUUGGAAACGAUAGCUAAUACCGCAUAAGAGUAGAUGUCGCAUGACAUUUGCUUAAAAGGUGCAACUGCACCACUACCAGAUGGACCUGCGUUGUAUUAGCUAGUUGGUGAGGUAACGGCUCACCAAGGCAACGAUACAUAGCCGACCUGAGAGGGUGGUCGGCCAAACUGGGACUGAGAACCGGCCCAGACUCCUACGGGAGGCAGCAGUAGGGAAUCUUCGGCAAUGGGGGGAAGUCUGACCGCGCAACGCCGGGUGAGUGAAGAAGGUUUUCGGAUCGUAAAGCUCUGUUGUAAGGGAAGAAAGAGUGGGAGGGUGAAACGUCCACGCUGUGACGGUAUCUUACCAAAAAGGACCGGCUAACUACGUG
rnacentral:rRNA from 1 species